AUGGUGGGCACUCUAGAAUGACUGCCGGUGACAAACCGGAGGAAGGCGGGGAUGACGUCAAAUCAUCAUGCCCCUUAUGACCUGGGCUACACACGUACUACAAUGGUCGAUACAACGGGAAGCGAAGCCGCGAGGUGGAGCCAAUCCUAUCAAAGUCGAUCUCAGUUCGGAUUGCAGGCUGCAACUCGCCUGCAUGAAGUCGGAAUUGCUAGUAAUCGCGGAUCAGCAUGCCGCGGUGAAUACGUUCCCGGGUCUUGUACACACCGCCCGUCACACCACGAGAGUUUACAACACCCGAAGUCG
rnacentral:rRNA from 1 species